CCAAUAGCGUAUAUUAAAGUUGCUGCAGUUAAAAAGCUCGUAGUUGAAUUUCGGGACUAAUAUGUCGGUCGUGCCUCGGUACGUACUGGUAUUUUUGGUUUCUCCCUUCUGACGAACCUUGAUGUCAUUAAUUUGGUGUCUUGGGAAAUCAGGACUGUUACUUUGAAAAAAUUAGAGUGUUUAAAGCAGGCUCACGCUUGAAUACAUUAGCAUGGAAUAAUGAAAUAGGACGUUUGAUUCUAUUUUGUUGGUUUCUAGGAUUGACGUAAUGAUUAAUAGGGAUAGUUGGGGGCAUUAGUAUUCAAUUGUCAGAGGUGAAAUUCUUGGAUUUAUUGAAGACUAACUACUGCGAAAGCAUUUGCCAAGGAUGUUUUCAUUAAUCAAGAACGAAAGUUAGGGGAUCGAAGACGAUCAGAUACCGUCGUAGUCUUAACCAUAAACUAUGCCGACUAGGGAUCGGAUGAUGUUAAUUUUUUAAUGACUCAUUCGGCGCCUUACG
rnacentral:ncRNA from 2 species